AUGUGGUUUAAUUCGUAUGAUACGCGAGGAACCUUACCUGGGCUCGAACGUAAGAUGACUGUAGGUGAAAGCUUACAUCUCUUCGGAGCAUUUUACGAGGUGCUGCAUGGUUGUCGUCAGCUCGUGCCGUGAGGUGUCGGUUAAGUCCCAUAACGAGCGCAACCCCUACCUUUAGUUGCCAUCAGGUUAAGCUGGGGACUCUAAAGGAACUGCCUACGCAAGUAGUGAGGAAGGCGGGGAUGACGUCAAAUCAGCACGGCCCUUACGUCCAGGGCUACACACGUGCUACAAUGGCCGAUACAGAGGGCAGCUACCUGGUGACAGGAUGCAAAUCUCCAAAGUCGGUCUCAGUUCGGAUCGGAGUCUGCAACCCGACUCCGUGAAGUUGGAUUCGCUAGUAAUCGCGCAUCAGCCAUGGCGCGGUGAAUACGUUCCCGGGCCUU
rnacentral:rRNA from 1 species